rnacentral:rRNA from 1 species
ACGAACGCUGGCGGCGUGCCUAAUACCUGCAAGUAGAACGCUGAAGCUUGGUGCUUGCACCGAGCGGAUGAGUUGCGAACGGGUGAGUAACGCGUAGGUAACCUGCCUGGUAGCGGGGGAUAACUAUUGGAAACGAUAGCUAAUACCGCAUAACUGUAGAUAUCGCAUGAUAGCUACUUGAAAGGUGCAAAUGCACCACUACCAGAUGGACCUGCGUUGUAUUAGCUAGUUGGUGAGGUAACGGCUCACCAAGGCAACGAUACAUAGCCGACCUGAGAGGGUGAUCGGCCACACUGGGACUGAGACACGGCCCAGACUCCUACGGGAGGCAGCAGUAGGGAAUCUUCGGCAAUAGACGGAAGUCUGACCGAGCAACGCCGCGUGAGUGAAGAAGGUUUUCGGAUCGUAAAGCUCUGUUGUAAGAGAAGAACGAGUGUGAGAGUGGAAAGUUCACACUGUGACGGUAUCUUACCAGAAAGGGACGGCUAACUACGUG